AUUCCAGCUCCAAUAGCGUAUAUUAAAGUUGUUGCAGUUAAAAAGCUCGUAGUUGGAUUUCAGAGUGAGCUCGUCCGGUCGGCCUAAAUGGUCUGAACUGGUUGACUCUCUCUUGCUUGUGGAUCCCGCCCGGAGUUAACUCUUCGGAUGUGGACUUCACAUCGUUUACCUUGAAAAAAUUAGAGUGUUCAAAGCAGGCGUAUGCUUGAAUAUAUUAGCAUGGAAUAAUGGAAUAGGACCCUGGUUCUAUUUUGUUGGUUUUGAGGACCAGAGUAAUGAUUAAUAGGGAUAGUUGGGGGCAUUCAUAUUUCAUUGUCAGAGGUGAAAUUCUUGGAUUUAUGAAAGAUGAACUUCUGCGAAAGCAUUUGCCAAGGAUGUUUUCAUUG
rnacentral:rRNA from 1 species